rnacentral:rRNA from 1 species
GACAGAGGAGGCAAGCGUUGUUCGGAAUCAUUGGGCUUAAAGGGCGUGUAGGCGGCAACGCAAGUGUCGUGUGAAAUCCCAUCGCUCAACGAUGGAACGGCUCGGCAAACUGCGUGGCUUGAGGUCGGUAGAGGUGCUCGGAACUCUAGGUGGAGCGGUGAAAUGCGUAGAUAUCUAGAGGAACGCCUGAGGCGAAAGCGGGGCACUGGGCCGAUUCUGACGCUGAGGCGCGAAAGCGUGGGGAGCAAACGGG